rnacentral:rRNA from 1 species
UACGAAGGGUGCAAGCGUUAGUCGGAAUUACUGGGCGUAAAGCGUGCGUAGGCGGUUUGUCGCGUCGAAUGUGAAAACCCGGGGCUCAACCCCGGGCCUGCAGUGGGUACGGGCAAACUAGAGUGCGGUAGGGGAGAUUGGAAUUCCUGGUGUAGCGGUGGAAUGCGCAGAUAUCAGGAGGAACACCGAUGGCGAAGGCAGAUCUCUGGGCCGUAACUGACGCUGAGGAGCGAAAGCAUGGGGAGCGAACAGG